UUGUGAGGACGACUUUAAUUGGUGUUAAUGUUGUUGUGCGAGGCCGGUGGUUGGAUUUGAUGAAUGUGUUGGAUGUGCGAUUCUAUAUGUUUGUACGGUCCUAUGUGUUUGUGCGAUUGAAGUUGGUUUUGGUUUCUUUUGCAGGUUUGGAUUGAGGUUUUGGUUUGGCGGAACAGUGACAGUUUCGAUUCUUGAACGUAUUGGGUUUUGAUGUUGAUCGGGACUGGUUGUGAAAUUUACGAUGGUGAAUAAUACUUCUGGUUUAUGAUAUUGAUGCAGGUUGCUUUGUGGAUUUUGUUGUGUAUUGGAUCAUAAGAACGGGUGAAAAUUGGUUGGAUUGUAGGUUUUCUGGUGUUGAAGUUCGGCCGUUUUUUGGUUCUCUCGCGCU
rnacentral:lncRNA from 1 species